GUGUGUGUGUGUGUGCGCGCGUGCACUCGUGGGCGCAGACUGAUUUGCUCCCAAAAUGUAAAAGAAAUGAAUUACUAAGUGAAAGAGAUAGAAGAGGGAAAACAGGAGAAUCUUGAUCAUUUAUAUCACCUGUCAAUGUAUUUGUGAUGAAAAAUGUAUGGAAGAAAUGAGAUGAACGCAGUCCAUAAGUAUGCCCAAUAAAUCACCUUACAUCAUUGGGUGGGUGAAAUUUCCAGGAUGGCCCUAUAAAAUGUAUUCUGUUUCUAAUAAUUCCACUUUACCUCUUUUUCUUUGGUCAAUAUAUCAAUGGUCUAGACAAGAGUCAAGUACCUUGUUGUUAAAAGCCAUUAACACAUUCCCACUUCUUUGCACAGCAUAUCGUGAUCCAAUCAAAAGGUGAAUAACAGAACCCAAUGAGUGGCCAAUGCCAAAAGUAGGAAGAUCUUCUGUCAUUUCUUUUAAAAAACGAAAACACCUAUCAAAUUUAAACUGCACUUCAUCCGCAAUGAAGAAAUGAUCAAAGCCACUAGCAUAUGGUGUGGCAAUCACCAAAAUACCCCUAAGAUCACACAAAAGGAUAUUAUUAUCAAAGUCCUCAGUUAUCAGCAAUAGACAAAUUGACAAAAAUUCACCAGCGGCAGAUCGGAUAGAGUAUAGAUAACAAUUGAUUGGCAAAAUAGAACAUCAGAAGGACAAAUCCAAAUUCUAAUCCAUAAAUACGAACCAUUCACUACUGAGUAAAUAAUGCAUUAGAAGAUCAUUUUCUACAGAUCCUUUGAUGCAACGAGAAACUCAAAUAGAAACGUGCUCCAUACACAAUAGUGAAAAAAAUAGAGAAAAUUCUUAACUGAAUUUUUAUUGAUCACAAUCUGUCUCCCAAAUUACAUAUAAAUAAGCGUAUUUAUAGUAUUUUUAGACUCCUAAACCUAUAGGAAUAUAAAUCUACUUUCUAAGAAAUUUAAAACUAAAAAACAAUAAGAAGAUAUAAACUAAAU
rnacentral:misc_RNA from 1 species